UACGUAGGGUGCAAGCGUUAAUCGGAAUUACUGGGCGUAAAGCGUGCGCAGGCGGUUAUGUAAGACAGAAUGGUGAAAUGCCCGGGCUUAACCUGGGAACUGCAUUUGUGACUGCAUGGCUAGAGUGUGUCAGAGGGGGGUAGAAUUCCACGUGUAGCAGUGAAAUGCGUAGAUAUGUGGAGGAAUACCGAUGGCGAAGGCAGCCCCCUGGGAUAACACUGACGCUCAUGCACGAAAGCGUGGG
rnacentral:rRNA from 1 species